rnacentral:misc_RNA from 1 species
GAUGAAGAACGCAGUGAAAUGCGAUAAGUAGUGUGAAUUGCAGAAUUCAGUGAAUCAUCGAAUCUUUGAACGCACAUUGCGCCCUAUGGUAUUCCGUAGGGCAUGCCUGUUCGAGCGUCAUUCAAACCUUCAAGCUCUGCUUGGUGUUGGGCGUCUGUCCUGCCUCACGGCGCGGACUCGCCUCAAAUCUAUUGGCGGCAGGCACGUUGGCUUCGAGCGCAGCAGAAACGCGAACUCGAGACCGGCGGAUCGGCUCCCAGAAGCUACCCCCAUGAAUUUGACCUCGGAUCAGGUAGGGAUACCCGCUGAACUUAAGCAUAUCAAUAAGCGGAGGA